CACUUAGGUUGAUUCCAUAUCUUGACUUUUGUGAAUAAUGUUGUUAUGAACAUGUGUAUACAACUAUCUGAGUCUUUCCUUUCAAUUUUCAUGGGUAUAUACCCCAAAGUGAAAUCUGGAUCACAUAGUAAUUCUGUUUAACUUUUUAAAAUUUUAUUUUAUUGGUGCAUAUUAUUUAUAUAGAAUGAUAAGUUUCAUAUUGGCAUAUUUGUAUGUACAUAAAAACAUAGAUGAUCAAUAUCAUUCCCCAAUAUCUUUCCCAUUAUCCCUUCCUCCCUUCUCUGGUUUCCCUUCCUCCUCCCUAAAGGUCUCCCUCCUAUUUUCAUGGCAUCCUUUUUUUUCUCUCUAGCUUCCACAUGUGACAGAAAACAUAUGAUGCUUUUCUCUGAGUAUGACUUAUUUCACUCAAAAUUAUGGCCUCCAGUUUCAUCCGUUUCCUACAAAUAGCAUCAUUUCUUUAUAGCGAAUUGAAACUCCCACUGUGUAUAUAUAACAUAUUUUCCUCAUCCAUUCAUCUGCUGAUGGACACCUACACUCAUUUAUAACUUUGCUACUGUGAAUUGUGGUGUGAUAAAUAUUGGUAUGUUUAACUUUUUGAGGAACUGUCAUAUUGCUUUCCAUGGUGGCUGCACCAGUAAUUAUCCCCAGUAAUGCACAAGUGUUCUAAUUUCUCUACAUCCUCACAAACACUUGUUAUUUCUUGGUGUUUUAAAUCAUAGCCAUCCUAGUAGGAGUAAAGUCUGUGAUUUUACUUUGUUUUCCUAAUUACUAACGAUGUAGGACAUCUUUAUUGUGUUUAAUUGCCAUUUGUAUAUCUAAUUUGGCAAAAUGUCUGUUCAAGUUCUUUGCACAAUUUUCCUAAUUAUUAAUUGACUUAUAAUAAUUUU
rnacentral:lncRNA from 1 species